AACGCACAUUGCGCCCGCCAGUAUUCUGGCGGGCAUGCCUGUUCGAGCGUCAUUUCAACCAUCAAGCCCCAGGCUUGUGUUGGGGACCUGCGGCUGCCGCAGGCCCUGAAAAGCAGUGGCGGGCUCGCUGUCACACCGAGCGUAGUAGCAUACAUCUCGCUCUGGGCGUGCUGCGGGUUCCGGCCGUUAAACCACCUUUUAACCCAAGGUUGACCUCGGAUCAGGUAGGAAGACCCGCUGAACUUAA
rnacentral:misc_RNA from 1 species